UAGAGUUUUUUCCUGGCUCAGGAUGAACGCUAGCUACAGGCUUAACACAUGCAAGUCGAGGGGCAGCAUGAGAGGACUUCGGUCCUUUCGAUGGCGACCGGCGAAUGGGUGAGUAACACGUAUCCAACCUGCCCCUGACCGGGGGAUAGCCCUCCGAAAGGAGAAUUAACACCCCAUGGGUGUCCGUGCGGCAUCGCGCGGCCAUGAAAGGUUACGGUCAGGGAUGGGGAUGCGUCCGAUUAGCUUGCUGGCGGGGUAACGGCCCACCAGGGCGUCGAUCGGUAGGGGUUCUGAGAGGAAGGUCCCCCACACUGGAACUGAGACACGGUCCAGACUCCUACGGGAGGCAGCAGUGAGGAAUAUUGGUCAAUGGGCGGAAGCCUGAACCAGCCAAGUAGCGUGAAGGAUGACGGCCCUACGGGUUGUAAACUUCUUUUAUGCGGGAACAAAAUGCGCCACGCGUGGCGUUUUGCGCGUACCGCAGGAAAAAGCACCGGCUAAUUCCGUGCCAGCAGCCGCGGUAAUACGGAAGGUGCGAGCGUUAUCCGGAUUCAUUGGGUUUAAAGGGAGCGUAGGCGGAGCGCCAAGUCAGCUGUGAAAUCCCGCGGCUCAACCGUGGAACUGCAGUUGAAACUGGCGCCCUUGAGUGCACAUGAGGAUGGUGGAAUUCGUGGUGUAGCGGUGAAAUGCUUAGAUAUCACGAAGAACUCCGAUUGCGAAGGCAGCUGUCUGGGGUGCCACUGACGCUGAGGCUCGAAAGUGCGGGUAUCAAACAGGAUUAGAUACCCUGGUAGUCCGCACAGUAAACG
rnacentral:rRNA from 1 species